UGACUGGAGUGUCAAAGCUUCGCAGCGUUUAAAAACAAAAGGUUGCUGGUAGGAGGGCCUCUAGCUAUUUUUGAUUUAUUACCUAAUCUUUAGACACUAGAAAUUAACAACAACGAGAAGAAAUGAAAAGGGGCAGUGACUAGCAGAAGCUCCUCAAUGAUGAUUCAUUCAUGUUCUUACUCUGUUGUCCAGGCUAGAGUACAGUGGCACGAUCAUGGCUCACUACAGCCUUAACCUCCCACGUUCAGGUGAUCCUCUUGCCUCAGCCUCCCGAGUAGCUGGGACUACAGGUCAAUUUCAUGAUACUAAAAAACAGCCCAGAGACAUCAGUCUGCAUUGAAUCAAAAUAGUGCUCAAGGAUGUCACAUUCUUAGAAUGAACUCUGAAUAAAACCUACAUUAAAAAUCAGAAUGCAUGGAUUGCUUCACCUUUGAUUAUUCACCUAUUAAUAGAUGCAGAUAUGAAGUAUCACUCAUCGAAGGAGGUUCCAGUCAAAUACGUGAAGACGAAGCAAAUGGACGUUGGCAAUCCUGGUUCUCAGACCUUCAGAUUUGGACUGGGACUUACACCAUUGGCUCCUCUGAUUCUCAGGCCUUCAGAUUUGCACUGGAACCACACCCAACACCACUGGCUUUCCUAGGCUUCCAGCCGGCAGACAGCAGAUCAUGGGACAGCCUCCAUAAUCUAGUGACCGAAUUCUUCAUAAUAAAUAUCUUUCUCUGUA